UAGCCCGUCUCCCCCUCUUGUUGUCGCUGUCACUGUUUCGGUCCAGGCUCCCUAUCAUGCAGUCUCCAUCCCUGUCCUCGUCUCUUGCGUGGCAACCUCUCCUUCUUCUUCUCGCCCCAUCCUCUUCUCAAUCCCUCUCUAUAGCAUUUCUCAGCCCUGUGUCUCUUUUCCCCUUCAUCGGACCAGCCGGAGAUGGCGCUUGAAGGUUUCACGGGUUGAGAACAUCGCCAACGGAGCUGAGCCUAUGCCUCCUAAUGGCAAUCUGGGACCAUCAGCAGGAGUCGCUUCCAUUGGUGUUCCAUUCAACCUUGUGAAUCAUGAUGGAAAAUCAAUAACUAAGAAAGACUUUCUAGGGAAGUGGACAUUGAUCUACUUUGGGUUCACUCAUUGCCCUGAUAUUUGUCCUGAUGAAUGUCAAAAUUUGCUAUUGCUGUUGACAAAUUGAAUAUGUAUCAAGCCAUUGACAUGUAUCUUCAGUUAUUAGAGGAAGAGAAGAUGAAGGUCUAUUGUGGUAUAAAUUUUGAGAAGUUAUCAUCAGAAUAAUGCAAGCACUUGACUCAGAACUUAAAGUUUCCAUCAAGAACAAUAAUUCAAGCUCUCAUCUUUCAAAAGUCAAAGCUGAAAAGCCUGUUACAAAACACCACCACCAACAACCUGGAAAGUUUAGCAGACACAGUGCUGACAAUGAACAGUGUGUCAUUCUUCAUGCAAAUAGACUGGAUCUCUCAAUGGAAAAUGAGAAGCUAAAAUCACAUCUUCAAGGGAUGCAAUGCAGACUAAUGGAGCUGGAGAAAGUUUGUAGAAAAAUGCAGACACAAUCUAACACAAGUCAUGAAAACCAAGUUAUCCAGUUUUUCAACAGCAGGAAGAUCACUCCCAAGACUUUGUUUAUGAAUUUUUUUGCAAAUUAUUUCACAUAUAAUGUUGUACAACAAUUGGAAAUGUGUGUAUUUGUGUGAGAAUUAAAGUAGAAUGUGAAAAAAGAAAAGAUGGUGA